rnacentral:rRNA from 1 species
CCUACGGGUGGCUGCAGUGGGGAAUAUUGGACAAUGGGCGAAAGCCUGAUCCAGCCAUGCCGCGUGUGUGAAGAAGGCCUUCGGGUUGUAAAGCACUUUCAGUGGGGAAGAAAGCCUUGGGGCUAAUACCCUCGAGGAAGGACAUCACCCACAGAAGAAGCACCGGCUAACUCCGUGCCAGCAGCCGCGGUAAUACGGAGGGUGCGAGCGUUAAUCGGAAUUACUGGGCGUAAAGCGCGCGUAGGCGGUCUGAUAAGCCGGUUGUGAAAGCCCCGGGCUCAACCUGGGAACGGCAUCCGGAACUGUCAGGCUAGAGUGUAGGAGAGGAAGGUAGAAUUCCCGGUGUAGCGGUGAAAUGCGUAGAGAUCGGGAGGAAUACCAGUGGCGAAGGCGGCCUUCUGGACUGACACUGACGCUGAGGUGCGAAAGCGUGGGUAGCAAACAGGAUUAGAUACCCGGGUAGUC